rnacentral:piRNA from 2 species
GGCAUUAAUAUCCAAGGAUGGAGUAGAAUGU